rnacentral:rRNA from 1 species
AGGACGAACGCUGGCGGCGUGCUUAACACAUGCAAGUCGAGCGGAAAGGCCCUUCGGGGUACUCGAGCGGCGAACGGGUGAGUAACACGUGAGUAACCUGCCCCUAGCUCUGGGAUAGCUCCGGGAAACCGGGAUUAAUACCAGAUACGACCACUUUAGACAUCUGUCGUGGUGGAAAGGAUUCCGGCUAGGGAUGGGCUCGCGGCCUAUCAGCUUGUUGGUGGGGUAACGGCCUACCAAGGCGACGACGGGUAGCCGGCCUGAGAGGGCGACCGGCCACACUGGGACUGAGACACGGCCCAGACUCCUACGGGAGGCAGCAGUGGGGAAUAUUGCGCAAUGGGCGAAAGCCUGACGCAGCGACGCCGCGUGGGGGAUGAAGGCCUUCGGGUUGUAACCCCUUUCAGCAGGGACGAAGCGAAAGUGACGGUACCUGCAGAAGAAGCGCCGGCUAACUACGUGCCAGCAGCCGC